rnacentral:rRNA from 1 species
GAUGAACGCUAGCGACAGGCCUAACACAUGCAAGUCGAGGGGCAUCGGGACGUAGCAAUACGUUGCCGGCGACCGGCGGAUGGGUGAGUAACGCGUAUGCAACCUACCCGUAGCAGGGGGAUAGCCCGUUGAAAGACGGAUUAAUACCCCGUAACACAGGGGCUCCGCAUGGAGAUUAUUGUUAAAGGGUCAUUUCUUUUAGAGGUGGUCCGGCUGCGGAUGGGCAUGCGUUCCAUUAGGUAGUUGGUGUAGGUAACUGCUCACCAAGCCGACGAUGGAUAGGGGAACUGAGAGGUUGGUCCCCCACACUGGUACUGAGACACGGACCAGACUCCUACGGGAGGCAGCAGUGAGGAAUUUUGGUCAAUGGACGCAAGUCUGAACCAGCCAUGUCGCGUGAAGGAGGACGGCCCUAAGGGUUGUAAACUUCUUUUGCAGCGGAAUAAAGUUUGCCACGAGUUGGCGAUUUGCAAGUACGCUGCGAAUAAGGAUCGGCUAACUCCGUGCCAGC